rnacentral:lncRNA from 1 species
CCCCAGCCUCGCUGCCGCCUUGUAGUUUGAUCUCAGACUGCUGUGCUAGCAAUCAGCGAGACUCCGUGGGCGUAGGACCCUCCUAGCCAGAUACAAAAAGAAAAAUUACUGUCAUGUGAUGUGUGAUCCAUGAUACCGUCAUAGUUUUGUUUUGCUGUGCUCCACCUUCAUACCUUCGCCUAUGUUAGAACUUCUGAGAAGCUGAAGCAUCACAUAUAAAAAGCCAAGACCAUCCUCAAGGAGUUUAAUGAAUGUGGCAUCACAAGAAAAAUAUGCAUCAACAUUGAAAAGGACGUGGUGCGGUUGAAGGGAAGCGGCUUCUCUGCAGCAGAAGCACAUCCAUCCUGAUCCCAGACUGUGGACAGCUCCUCUGUGGAGGAAUAGCUGAUGACCGCAUAGUUCCUCUUUCCCACCCCUAACCCCCAUUGCCUUGCUCCAUUCAUAGCAAUCUGAGCUCUGAAUGUGGGCUGAGAUGUCUGACAUUCUGCAGCAGGAGUCUGUGGGAAGAAACAACAUUGGGUGCAUGUGCAGGGUGGGAGGGCAUGGGCAGAUGGGAGAGAGCUGAGUGGCAGGGGGCAGAUGAGGCUUAUCUCUUCCCACUCCAUCUCCCUGGAUCUCAAGGCCGAGAAUAGGACCACCUGUUAAAAAAAGCAAAUUCUAUUUGAACAUAUUGCCUUCCUAGACCAGGUAGAGCUGUGGACUUGUAUCAUCGGACUUCAUUCCUCCUCACCUUAGGAGGGUUUCGUAGGCCGGGAACCUUUAGCAGGGAGAAAAAAGCCACUUACCUCUUUUUCUUUUUCCUUUAUAAAAUUGCUCUUUCUAGAAAGCUUCCACACAUUUACUUAUUCUACACCACCAACAGAUCUUUCUUGCUUCUGGACUACUGUGGUCAGUUCACAAAAGUAAAUAUUAUUAGCAACAAGAAUUGGAAUUUGGAAUUACUUUACCCACAUUUAAAAUGAAAGCUUUCCUUUCUGCAGGAACAAUGCGAGUUUGAGAGGCUUAUAUAAAAUGUGCUACAGAAUUAGAAAACUAAAGCGUUACUCUGACCGGCAUCCUCUUUAUUUUAAAAACUAAGCAUUUAAGUAGUAAUUGGCAAAGAAAAGACUGCAUAUUGGACAUGUUAGUCAAAUAAAUUGGGCAUGUUAGUUAAAUAAAUUCUGUAUAUUCUAAACUUCUAACUUUUUUAUCAUGUGAUUUCCUGAGUAAUAAGUCUCACUUAGCAUUUUCUCAUUUUCUCAGUGUAGGCAUCACUCAGACUUAUUCAGUGGCAGUGAAUACAUGGAAUGUACACUUACACCCUUCAUAAAAAGAUCUGAUGCAAGGCACACAGCCAGAGAGAACUUCAAGGAUUUGGCAAAGGCAAGGAUAUAUCUUAACCUAUCCCAAAUUCUCAUUUUGAACAUGUAAAAUUUCAGUCACUUAAAAAAAUAAAUUUAAUUAUGUGUAGUUCAGUACUUUCUUCACAGAACUGGUACUAGAAAUAGUUUAAGAACAAACUGUUCUAGGUUUUAUUUUUACUGGAUCUGUAGGUAAGACUGCCAAAACUGUCACUUAAAAAUGUUGUUUGCAACCAGAUUUUGGAGUCCUCAUUUCUGGUUCAGAACUUUGAAAUUAGCAGCCAAAUGUUUGGAUACUUGUUCAGUUGUGCAGAUUAAAAAAAAAUCCAGGUUGGGCCAAACCAU